GUCUAUGGCCAUACCGCCCUGAACGUGCCCGAUCUCGUCUGAUCUCAGAAGCUAAAGCAGGGUCGGGCCUGGUUAGUACUUGGAUGGGAGAAGUUAUAGNNN
rnacentral:rRNA from 1 species